AGUCAUAUGCUUGUCUCAAAGAUUAAGCCAUGCAUGUCUCAGUACAAGCCGAAUUAAGGUGAAACCGCGAAAGGCUCAUUAAAUCAGUUAUGGUUCCUUAGAUCGUACCCACAUUUACUUGGAUAACUGUGGUAAUUCUAGAGCUAAUACAUGCAAACAGAGCUCCGACCGGAGACGGAAGGAGCGCUUUUAUUAGAUCAAAACCAAUCGGCGGCGGGCUUGCUCGUCGUCGUACACCUUGGUGAAUCUGAAUAACUUUCUGCUGAUCGCAUGGUCUCGCACCGGCGACGCAUCUUUCAAAUGUCUGCCUUAUCAACUGUCGAUGGUAGGUUCUGCGCCUACCAUGGUUGUAACGGGUAACGGGGAAUCAGGGUUCGAUUCCGGAGAGGGAGCCUGAGAAACGGCUACCACAUCCAAGGAAGGCAGCAGGCGCGCAAAUUACCCACUCCCGGCACGGGGAGGUAGUGACGAAAAAUAACGAUACGGGACUCAUCCGAGGCCCCGUAAUCGGAAUGAGUACACUCUAAACCCUUUAACGAGGAUCAAUUGGAGGGCAAGUCUGGUGCCAGCAGCCGCGGUAAUUCCAGCUCCAAUAGCGUAU
rnacentral:rRNA from 3 species